rnacentral:misc_RNA from 1 species
UUAGGCCAUGUGGCGCGGCCACGGAAGGGGGCGUAUCACCACCAGACCACGCGAAUACGACCCCGGAAAUUUGCUGUUUCGAAAAAACAAAAUAGAUGAUCCAGAUCAAUAUCUUACAAUGAACUGGACGCCAGCCGCGCAGCAUCGUAGCAAUGCGCUGAUACGCCCUCGCUGACCGGCGGCGUCCGGUUUAGGGUGAUCUGACAACAGCCGGAGAUAUCGAUCGUGACGGAACAUC